UACGGGGGGAGCAAGCGUUGUUCGGAUUUACUGGGCGUAAAGGGCGCGCAGGCGGCUACGCACGUCCGUUGUGAAAUCGCUCGGCUCAACUGGGCGGGGUCAGCGGAUACGGCGUAGCUGGAGCAAGCUAGGGGGCAAUGGAAUUCCCGGUGUAGUGGUGGAAUGCGUAGAUAUCGGGAGGAACACCAGUGGCGAAGGCGGUUGCCUGGAGCUUUGCUGACGCUGAGGCGCGAAAGCGUGGGGAGCGAUCCGG
rnacentral:rRNA from 1 species